GGCUACCACAUCUAAGGAAGGCAGCAGGCGCGUAACUUACCCACUCCCAGUUCAGGGAGGUAGUGACAAUAAAUACCUUACAGAGGUCUCGUUAACCGAGAUCUCUCAAACGGAAUGAGUACAACGUGAAUCCUUUAACGAGGAUCGACUGGAGGGCAAGCCUGGUGCCAGCAGCCGCGGUAAUUCCAGCUCCAGUAGCGUAUAUUAAAGCUGUUGCGGUUAAAAAGCUCGUAGUUGGAUAUCAGUGCGUGUCCGGUCCGGUAUGCCUGGCGGCGGCGCUCGCGCGUCACUGCUGGGCUCCCAAAUAUCGGCUGGCCGCAUUCAAUCGUGCCGGAUCCGUCGUCGGGCCGUUCUUCGGAGGGGCCUGAUGGCGACCGGCGACGUUACCUUGAACAAAUUAGAGUGCUCAAAGCAGGCUCUUAAUGCCUGUAUACAUAUUCAUGGAAUUGGAGAAUACGUCCCUGGCUCGAUUUGGUUGGUUUUGAGAGUCGAAGGGAAAUGAUUAAUAGGGACUGACGGAGGCAUUCGUAUUGCGACGCGAGGGGUGAAAUCCUGUGACCGUCGCACGACGAACUACUGCGAAAGCAUUUGCCGAGAAUGUUUUCAUUAGUCAAGAACGAAAGUUAGAGGUUCGAAGGCGAUCAGAUACCGCCCUAGUUCUAACCGUAAACGAUGUCGACCAGCAAUCCGCAACGGUCACUACACGGACUGUGCGGGCAGCUUCCCCGGGGAAACCAGAGUUUUUGGACUCCGGGGGAAGUAUGGUUGCAAAGCUGAAACUUAAAGGAAUUGACGGAAGGGCACCACCAGGAGUGGAGCUUGCGGCUUAAUUUGACUCAACACGGGACAACUCACCAGGCCCGGACACCGUAAGGAUUGACAGACUGAUAGCUCUCUCUUGAUUCAGUGGGUGGUGGUGCAUGGCCGUUCUUAGUUGGUGGAGUGAUUUGUCUGGUUUAUUCCGAUAACGAACGAGACUCUGGCCUAUUAAACUUGAAACUGUCAGUCUCUUGUGACUGCGGUUUGCUUCUUAGAGGGAUCAUCGGCGUCCCAGCCGAAGGAAAUGGAGCAAUAACAGGUCUGUGAUGCCCUUAGAUGUUCUGGGCUGCACGCGUGUUACACUGAAGUGGUCAGCGCGCCGUUCAACACCCCUCUCCGUGAGGAGCUGGGCAAACGUUUGAACCCUUUUCGUGAUGGGAAUUGGGGGUUGCAAUUGUCCCCCAUGAACGAGGAAUUCCAAGUAAGCGCAGGUCACUAGCCUGCGUUGAUUAAGUCCCUGCCCUUUGUACACACCGCCCGUCGCUACUACCGAUGGAUGAUUUGGUGAGGUCGCCUAGACUGGCUGCUGGCUUCGGCCGUGCGGCCGGGAAGACGCCCAAACUUGGUCGUCUAGAGGAAGUAAAAGUCGUAACAAGGUUUCC
rnacentral:rRNA from 1 species